rnacentral:lncRNA from 1 species
CCUUUUUUUUUCUCUUUUCCCUAAGGGCAUUCAGUACAAUUCAGUGAUUGAUUGGAAGCUUCAGAUAGUUUGAAUGUGGAUCUGUGUUUGGGCUGGAUCAGAUGCUCAAGAGGAAAUCCAGCCUGCUGCCUUCAGGCCUGCAUGGGGCUGCUGCAACUUCAGUCAUAGCAGGCUGGGAGGCUCUCCAUGAAGACAGAUGGCUUGGCAGACUGGUGUUGUUACGUUGCUGGGUUUGGACAGUGUGGGGAAGAGGAAUGUGGGUAAAAUGAAGGUGUGUGAAGUCUCAGGACUAGCUAAAAUGUUUCCCCCCAACAAAGCUUUUCUUAUAAAACAGAGGAACACAGGGACAGUGGAGGCUUUGAAAAGAGAAGGUGAAGAACAGAAGGUACAAAGUGUCACCUGCCGGAAAGACUGGUUAGAUGCUUCCUCUGCAACACCUCUCAUGCCUCUCAAUUUGUCCUGGUUAGUUGACGGAUUCUGGAUCACGUAGCAGCCUUGGGAAGCAGACAAAACCAGAAGCUAUUGUUUUCCUCCAAUUAAAUGUCAGCCCGAUUAGCAUUCUGAAAAUCUAAGUUGUAGUUUAUUUUUUUAAUCCCCAGCCUCAGUUACAUGUGCCAGAUACCUCUGGGGAUGUUGCUGGAC